UACGUAGGGUGCGAGCGUUGUCCGGAAUUAUUGGGCGUAAAGAGCUCGUAGGCGGUCUGUCGCGUCUGCUGUGAAAAUCCAGGGCUCAACCCUGGACCUGCAGUGGGUACGGGCAGACUAGAGUGCGGUAGGGGAGAUCGGAAUUCCUGGUGUAGCGGUGAAAUGCGCAGAUAUCAGGAGGAACACCUAUGGCGAAGGCAGCUCGCUGGGACGUUACUGACGCUGAGACGCGAAAGCGUGGGGAGCAGACAGG
rnacentral:rRNA from 1 species